UAAGGAAUCUUCCGCAAUGGACGCAAGUCUGACGGAGCGACGCCGCGUGCGCGACGAAGCCCUUCGGGGUGUAAAGCGCUUUUCGGGGGGACGACUACAGACGGUACCCCCGGAAGAAGCCUCGGCUAACUACGUGCCAGCAGCCGCGGUAAUACGUAGGAGGCGAGCGUUGUCCGGAAUCACUGGGCGUAAAGCGCGUGUAGGCGGUGCGGGAAGUCUGCUGUGAAAGCGCCUGGCUUAACUGGGCGAGGUCGGCGGAAACUCUCGCACUUGAGGCCGGUAGAGGGGGGUGGAAUUCCCGGUGUAGUGGUGAAAUGCGUAGAGCUCGGGAGGAACACCCGUGGCGCAGGCGGCCCCCUGGGCCGCGCCUGACGCUGAGACGCGAAAGCGUGGGGAGCGAACGG
rnacentral:rRNA from 1 species